rnacentral:lncRNA from 1 species
GAAAGAACACGCAUGCAUCCCUCUUUUUCUAUUUUUAUCACACGAGUAUCUCCGGCCGGCGGUACAAGAGGCUGGAGACCCCAGAGGGCUCUCUUGCCCCUUCUGCCAUGUGAGGACACAGCGAGAAGAUGGCUGUCUGUGAACCAGGAAGUGGACCCUCACCAGACACGGAAUGCACUGGAGUCCUGCUCUUGGACUUCCCAGCCUGGAGAACUGUGAGAGACGAAUGCAGCUUGCAUGGCUUGCCAAGUGGUGCCAUGUUUAUACCUGGGAUCCGAACCCGUGAACCCCCGGACACUGAAGCAGAAUGUGUGCACUCAACUGCUGCGUCCCCGGGCCGGCCACACAUUUAUUCUUAAAUAGAAGAUUAGCCCUGAGCUAACUGCUGCCAAUCCUCCUCUUUUUGCUGAGGAAGACUGGCCCUGAGCUAACAUCCAUGCCCAUCCUCCUCUACUUUAUAUGUGGGACACCUGCCACAGCAUGGCUUUUGCCAAGUGGGGCCAUGUCCGCACCCAGGAUCCGAACCAGCGAACCCCGGGCCACCGAAGCGGAACUUGUGCACUUAACCGCUGUGCCACCGGGCCGGCCCCUGAUAAAGCUUUUGAUUUUGAUCUUUUUCCAGAUAAAGAAGGACAAUUUAUAUUUGUCUCCCUCUCUUCCUCUUAGUUGGGUCAAAUCACUUCUAAACUACCAGUUGGCCUUUGUGAGAGGUGACUUGAUUUCUUAUUUUAAAACUAUUUAUAUUAUGGAAACUUUUCAAUAUAGACAAAACUACAGAACCAUAUAAAAUGAACCCCCACGUACCCAUCAACCAGCUCAGAUAUACACCAAAUCAAUAUAUUUAUCUCCAUUUGUUCUCCCAUCCAAUAGUAUUUUGAAGAAGCUCUCAUCCGUCAUAUAAAUUAAUCCCUAAAUAUUUAAGAAGUAUCUCUAAAAGAAAAGGACUAAAAAGAAACCCAAUUCCCAUUACUGUCCUAUAACAAUAAUUUCCUAGCAUCAUCAAGUGUCAUCUUUUACAAUUUGCUUGUUUGAGUGAGGAUCUAAAUAAGGCCUGUGAGAGUGUAUAAUUGGCCAACGUCUCUUAAGUCUCGUUCAGACUACAUUUAUAUUAGUACAGGCUCCUACUCUUUCUCUUUUAUUUUCCUUGCAAUUUGAUGAAGAAACCAGGUCCUUUGUCCUUCAUAUAAAAAUAUUUUAUUUGAUGGGAUUAUAUAGAUAAUAUUCUUUAGCAAUAUAUGUUGGCCGUCUUUCCUCUUAGUACCUAUAAGUCAAUUUUUGGUUUUUAGCUGGUGCACAGAACUCCAUAGUUACUAUUUUUUAAAAUGUCUUAUCUCCUCUACUUACCUACAUGAGCCUUGGAGGAGAUAAUUCACUCAGCAAACAUUUAAUGAGCACCUAGUCUCUGCUAGGCCCCAUGCCCGAUCCUGAGAGCUGUAGUAGGAAUAAGCCAGACAGGUUCCCGAAGCUUCAACUCAGACUUUCAUGGUCUGCAGCAUGUUUGAAGAGACCUUGUUAAAUGCAGGUCCCAGGGCCCCCUCCCAGACGGGCUGUCUCUCUCGUCUAGCACUGUCCUGUACAAAUGCGUGUCAAUUUACAUUUUCUAGUAAUUAUGUAAAAAGAUAAAAAGAAACAGGUG